UCUCAGCCUGUGCCAGGUUCAGUAUCAGUGGUUCUUAACCUGUGGGGUGCAACUCCCACAGGGUCACAGAUCAGAUAUUUAUAUUAUCAUUUAUAACAGUAGCAAAAUUACAGUCAUGAAGUCACUAGUAACAAUAAUUUUAUGUUUGGUUUUUAAAAGAUUUAUUUAUUUUAUUUAUAUGAGUACACUCUUGCUGUCUUCAUACACACCAGAAGAGGGCAUAGGAUCCCAUUACAGAUGGUUGUGAGCCACCAUGUGGUUGCUAGGAAUUGAACUCAGGACCUCUGGAAGAACAAUCAGUUCUCUUAACCUCUGAGCCAUCUCUCCAGCUCAGGUUGGGGGUUCUAAGGUUAAGAACCACUGGCUUGACUGUUUCGGUUGUUUGGGAUAGUAGCCUUGUCUGGCCUAGAACUCUAGAACUUACUAUGUAGGACUCUUGACUGGCCUGGAAGUUAGUGAUUCAUUCACCUUAGAAGCUAGUGACCAAAUUCAUUUAGAAACCUUCAGGAGAAGAGAUUGUACAAGAAUAAUUGAAGGCCAUUGGUUUGGGAGAGAGAAAACCUUACCUGCUGCUACAUAUUAAACUCUAAUGGUUUAACUUAAAAAAAAAAAAAACAAAACAAAAGCAAAAAGUUUUUUUUUAAAGAUUUGUUUAUUUUAUAUAUGUGAGUACACUGUAGCUGUCCUCAGACACCAGAAGAGGGUAUCGGAUCCCAUUACAGUUGGUUGUGAGCCACCGUAUGCUUGCUGGGAAUUGAACUCUGGACAUCUGGAAGAGCAGUCAGUGUUCUUAACCACUGAGCCAUCUCUCCAGCCCUGAUGGUUUAACUUUUUAAUUAUUUUCCGUGCUGGAGUUGUUUAAUACCACACUAUCAGUGUUUUGAGAAUUGAAUGAUAUUGACUACAUAUAUGUAAGACAUAAAGAUAACUCUUGAUGCAGUGUGACUCAAGUGGCCACUGAUAGUAUUUAAUUAGUCCAGAAUAUUAACAUUCUGAAAAUCUAUUUAGAUUACCUGACUAGAGAUAAUUCUGAGUAUAAGAAUUUUGAAAAUACUGAUGCUGUUAUUUUCAGUUCACAUGCUUAGUUUGGUAUCCCAUUUCCCAAAAUUCAUGAGUACUAAUUGAAUUUCCUGAAUUGAAUCUUCAUAACCUAAGAUGGUUGUUGAGUUUGAAAAGGAUCCAUACGUACUUCAUGCUGGCUGGGAAGAAAAUGUCUCAUCAGGCUCAACUUUUGCUCAUUAUUUAUUUAUUUAAGAAGGUCUUCAUGGAGAUUUUGUUCAUGUUCUUCUGUUAUACUACUAGUUAGAUGAUGAAAAUGGACUAUUGUUUUCCUUUUCUUUUAACUUGGAAAACUUAAACCAUUUCUUAAGCACAGUGGUAUUAUUAGCACCUUAAAAACCAUCUGCUAAUAGGUUAUAGAACCAAUAAAAGCAUGAAUCUAGGAAUGACAAUCUAGAUUCUGGCACUGUUGAAUAUAAUUAGUUAUGUGGUUAGUUAAAAUCAAAAUAUAUUUUUGAAUGAUUGAGCUCCGAUUUAAAAAUGACAUUUUAAUUUUUAACAAAUUUUUUAGAUCUUUAAAAUUUUUACAUGUUAAGUGUUUUGCCUGCAUGUGCAUGCCUGGUGUCCUUAUCGGUCAGAAAGAAACAUUGGAUCCCCUGAAACUGAAGUUAUACAUGACUGUCAGCUGACAUAUGAGUGCUAGGAAUCAAACCUGAAACUUCUGAAAGAGGAGUCGGUGCUCUUAACCACUGAGCCCUCUCUCUAGCCCAUUUUACAAACUAACCAAUGUCAUUGGAGCAUUUUUUUAAAAGAUUUAUUUAUUCACUGAGGCUGUCUUCAGACACUCCAGAAGAGGGCGUCAGAUCUUGUUACAGAUGGUUGUGAGCCACCAUGUGGUUGCUGGGAUUUGAACUUGGACCUUUGGAAGAGCAGUCGGGUGCUCUUACCCACUGAGCCAUCUCACCAGCCCAUGGAGCAUUUUAUAUGUAAUUGUCACCCCUGUCCACACCCCAACUGGUUUCCUUCCUUCUC
rnacentral:lncRNA from 1 species